rnacentral:rRNA from 1 species
AGAUUGAACGCUGGCGGCAGGCUUAACACAUGCAAGUCGAGCGGAAACGAUGAUAGCUUGCUAUCAGGCGUCGAGCGGCGGACGGGUGAGUAAUACUUAGGAAUCUACCUAGUAGUGGGGGAUAGCACGGGGAAACUCGUAUUAAUACCGCAUACGACCUACGGGAGAAAGGGGGCAGUUUACUGCUCUCGCUAUUAGAUGAGCCUAAGUCGGAUUAGCUAGAUGGUGGGGUAAAGGCCUACCAUGGCGACGAUCUGUAGCUGGUCUGAGAGGAUGAUCAGCCACACCGGGACUGAGACACGGCCCGGACUCCUACGGGAGGCAGCAGUGGGGAAUAUUGGACAAUGGGGGAAACCCUGAUCCAGCCAUGCCGCGUGUGUGAAGAAGGCCUUUUGGUUGUAAAGCACUUUAAGCAGUGAAGAAGACUCUGUGGUUAAUACCCACAGACGAUGACAUUAGCUGCAGAAUAAGCACCGGCUAACUCUGUGCCAGCAGCCGCGGUAAUACAGAGGGUGCAAGCGUUAAUCGGAAUUACUGGGCGUAAAGGGAGCGUAGGUGGCUCGAUAAGUCAGAUGUGAAAUCCCCGGGCUCAACCUGGGAACUGCAUCUGAUACUGUUGAGCUAGAGUAUGUGAGAGGAAGGUAGAAUUCCAGGUGUAGCGGUGAAAUGCGUAGAGAUCUGGAGGAAUACCGAUGGCGAAGGCAGCCUUCUGGCAUAAUACUGACACUGAGGCUCGAAAGCGUGGGUAGCAAACAGGAUUAGAUACCCUGGUAGUCCACGCCGUAAACGAUGUCUACUAGUCGUUGGGUCCCUUGAGGACUUAGUGACGCAGCUAACGCAAUAAGUAGACCGCCUGGGGAGUACGGCCGCAAGGUUAAAACUCAAAUGAAUUGACGGGGGCCCGCACAAGCGGUGGAGCAUGUGGUUUAAUUCGAUGCAACGCGAAGAACCUUACCUGGUCUUGACAUAUCUAGAAUCCUGCAGAGAUGCGGGAGUGCCUUCGGGAAUUAGAAUACAGGUGCUGCAUGGCUGUCGUCAGCUCGUGUCGUGAGAUGUUGGGUUAAGUCCCGCAACGAGCGCAACCCUUGUCCUUAGUUACCAGCGGGUUAAGCCGGGAACUCUAAGGAUACUGCCAGUGACAAACUGGAGGAAGGCGGGGACGACGUCAAGUCAUCAUGGCCCUUACGACCAGGGCUACACACGUGCUACAAUGGUAGGUACAGAGGGCAGCUACACAGCGAUGUGAUGCGAAUCUCAAAAAGCCUAUCGUAGUCCAGAUUGGAGUCUGCAACUCGACUCCAUGAAGUAGGAAUCGCUAGUAAUCGCGGAUCAGAAUGCCGCGGUGAAUACGGGCCUUGUACACACCGCCCGUCACACCAUGGGAGUUGACGCACCAGAAGUGGGUAGCC